rfam:Camelus ferus unplaced genomic scaffold scaffold637, whole genome shotgun sequence.
GGAGGGAACAGCUCACUGGUAGAGUGUGUGCUUAGCAUGCACGAGGUCCUGGGUUCAAUCCCCAGUAUCGCUG